rnacentral:tRNA from 1 species
GCUGAGGUGGCAGAGUAGCAAUCGCGCCUCGCUGUAGACGAGGUGCCCGUAAGGGCUCCGGGGGUGCAAUUCCCUCCCUCAGCA